rnacentral:lncRNA from 1 species
UCUACCUCUUCAGAUCUUGACUUUCCACUUUUAUCAAGAAUACCAAAAGAUGAAUCAAGGGAAACUUGCAGAAGGUCAUUAGCUCCACUAUUGAAAACACCAAUAACAGUUCCCACAAAUUCUCCACUUUCCUGAUAGGAAAAGGUGUUGUAGGUAAACAAAUUCAGUUUAAGGAUUUAAAAACAAUAAGGCAAUACAAUACCAAAGAAGAAGAAUUCAAAGUUGCAUAAAUCUAUAUAAACUGGGUACUUCAAAAAAUGGUGAUGUAUGUCUUGGAUAUGCAUGGGUAUGUACCGAAUAUGUAAGAAUUAUAUCAAAUUGUUUUUUUAUUUGUUACACGGAUUGGGUACGGCAGGGUACUCCUAUGGUGCUGACUGAGUGACCAUUGCAAAACUGUGUCAUUUUGGGCUAGAAAUCUCAGUUGGUAAUGAGUCUUAACUUCUCAUCCUACGACACUCGCAUCCUCAGGCAGUGUCGGUGACGACCCUCUUACCUUUUUUAUAUACUUAUAUAAGUAUAUAUACAUAAAAAUUUUAUAUUGACAUACCCAUAUCUUUGAUUUUCUAAAAUGUAUCUCUUACAUGUAUCAUACCCAUACCACGCAACAUAUUAUAACAUUAUCUUUAGGUUAUUGAUAAUAGUUUGUUUGCAUUUGAAUCACUAUACUAGCACUUUGCAUUUCAUUUGCUGAGUCAUUUGCUGUUUCACAAAGAAAUAGCUGUCAGUAGGAUAUAUGUAUGCAAAGAAAAGAGCUCCACCAAAAAAAACAAAUCUGUGAAAGGCUAUAUUUUAACAUGGCAAAAAAGCUGUCAUUUCUGUAAUAGCUCAUCAAUGAGGAUCACCAAGUUAAUUUUAUAGACCUAAAAAAUAUAACAUAAAGUUAAAUGGAUAGGAAAGGAAAAUCUUUGGUUCCAUUAAAUGGCAAUAUUUCAAAAAAUUGAAUAAAAAAUAAUGAAUAAGGAGAGGAAAAAUGGUUCAUAGGAACCUUGAGAAAAACUUUCAUCCCAACAAGAUCAUGUGUGUAAAAUUCACCCUCUUCUAACUCUGGUCUUUCAUCCUCGGUGACAAGCAAGGUAGAGCCAGUAAGCAUCUUAGCCUGCAUGAUACGAGUAAAUGAAUGUGUUUGGAUUAGCAACAGAAAAUAGAUUAUUUCAGUGAUAGAUUGUUAUCAUGAUCUAUUGUAAAAGAAUUGUUUUCCUGUUAAGAUAUGCUUGAUGAAAAAGAGUUUUUAUGAUAAUCUAUUUUGUUUUGACCGUUCGAAAAAAUCACAUUUAUGUAGUAAAUUACAAAAAAUGACAGUUAUUUCUUUAGAUUAAUAAUGUUUGUUCGGCAAUUAGUUCAUUUUUUCAAAUAAGUUUCAGCCUCUAGUUUCCCUAAAACAAAUUUUCUCCCUGAAAACCUCUUUUUCAUACUUUCAUCAAGUUUAUUAAACCACACCUGAAAGUAGGGCAUGUUCACAUCCAAAUCGUUCCAAAAUAAAACUGUAAACCAAUUCAAAAAACUACAAACCAAUAAAAAAAAUAUUUUAGAUUGGUUUUGCAAAGAACAGGCCAGGUCAGAUCAGAUCAGAUUUUGGAUUCAUGUAUAAAACUCGAUCAAAUUGUGCAUCUUACAUAUUUUAUAUAUUAAUUAAUCUAAAAUUGUAUAUUUACUUUAAGUUGUGAUAUUUGAUGUAUACCUUUGAUUGAAUUAUUUUUUGUAUUACUUUCAUUUGGAUACAUUAUCUCAAUAAUCAAACAAUUAACCAUAAUAUUUUAUUUUACUAUUUAAAAUAAAAAUCAAUACAUACACUUAUAAAAUUAAAGUUGUAUUUGGAUAAAAACGUAAAUAAUCAAAAAUAAAAAGCCAAAUCACAACCGCUCGUAAUUUUUAGUUCAUACCAAAUUUGAUGCUUAAAUCAACCGACUCGAACCACAUGUGAUAUUUAUGUUCCAAUAAGAUGACUUUUUACCCCAAAACCAAUCCAAAUCAACCCACAAACACCCUUACUUGAAAGGAAAAAGCAGUUUAUGUUCACACAAGAGUGAAUGGAGAUUGAUGACAAGAGAGGAUGACCUCUCAGUUUCAAUUCAGAUGUUGGUAUAUGUUUGUAACCUAUCUUUCAUAAGGUCCAAGGAUUUACAUCUACCAAUAGAGGAAGUUAUGUGACAUGGGAAGUUCAGGUUUUUAUGGGGAAGACGACGAGGAGUAGUAGGGUGUAGAUCAUGGUUCACUUGAUGACUCGGCCAACCUACGUGAGAUAGACCUUGAUUUGUUCGGGCAUGGUUAUAAUAUUGGGAGUCAAAUUGUGAACCAGAAAGCCUAAUUUCCAAAUAGUGAAUGGUAAUAUUUCUUUAUUACUAGACAAAACAUGUUAUUUCGAAAUAGUUAUAACAUACAUUUAUGCAUGAUUAUCUAUACUCUAGACCUCGGCUAGAGUAUACAUACAUUUGUCUUCCUCUUGCCCCUACACAAACCACUUCUAAUUUAUAUACAUAAAUACAAUGACUACCCCUACAAGAGUAAUAAGUUACUUCAGCAGUUAAUCAACCAGUUAAAGAACUAAAAAACCAAACAAAAAUUUCAUUGUCUGCCUUGCUUAUAGGAUUAUGUGUUAGCUAACGACAUCUAUACUGGGUAUCAAUGUUUAACGGAAAAUGAAAAGAAAAAAGAAUCUGACCUCAACGUACUCAACUCCGAGGUUAAUAAGAUUAUCGGCAAUGCUAUGCUUUGAAAACAAGCUAAUAAACCCUCCAGAUCCAACAGGAGUUUGGAGUAUUUCCCAAGGUGACUUCAUUAGAAUCUUAUAUUUGUUUUGUCCUUCAGGCAAACUGCUAACAACCGGAAGCUUCUCUUCCUCCAAAAACCAUAUCUGCAAGAGGGUUAAAAUAUUAAGAUUGUGAUCACACUAGAAGCCAAUUAUAUAAGCACGAGGUUGAGAAGAGAUUGUCACUAGAUUUCCAUUUAAAAGUUAAAAUGAAGACUAUAUUAUUUCUUGUACAAAUUGACCAUUGAUGUUUUGCAUAUGACCACCACUUCACUUAUCCAGUGUAGUAGUAUUAUUUAUAGCAUGCAUAACCACAUCCUAAAAGGAAACUAGUAUUAGUUAAAUGUUACUGCAAUAUUGAUAUUUUCAGUUUCCAAGCAAUGAACAGGCAAUGUUCCAUAUUUUACGAGUCCCGAAACUAAACCACUACAGGUGAAGUAGAAUUUCAAAAUGGAAGGUAAUGUGGAUUGUAGAAAUCAAAAAAUACGAUGAACAGUAAGAAUAUUUAAGUUGGACCACAAUACAGAGAUAUUGACAAACUUUAGUACAUAUUUGACCAAGAUAAUAGAAAACAAAAAAGGGAGAUCUUCGGCAUGAUGUGAACCUUUUCAGAGUCAAAUGCAAAGUGAUUGUUGUUGGUAAACAGCUUUCUUAAAGACUCAAUUUGUUGGGCUGACGAAACCAAAAUUAAAGGCACAACCUCGCGAUCUUUAUCCUGCAAAAAAUGCAAAUUCAUUAGAUGAUGAGAAUUUAUUUAAUACAGUCAUUUCAAAAAGUCACUUAGAUGAUACCUUAAAAAUCAGCUUAUAUCAUCUUUUUUCCAGCAUGAUUCAUAACAAACAUCACAUUGGAAAUGAAAUGGACAACAUUAAAAUGCUAGUUUUUCUGUUCUCUUUGAAUAUUUGUUGAAGAGGUGUUCUGUUGAAAUUCAAUUAUGACAAUAAAUUGAUUUUCACAAUAGUUAAUCUUUAUCAGGAGCAUAUUUACCGACAAUAAAAAAAUUAAAAACACAAGUUUACAACCUUUACAAAAUUUCCAUCAUCAGAGAGUAACUUUUGAAGUGGGAGAAGUAAAGUGUCUGUCGCUUCAUUCUCAACUAUGUCAGGGUCACAAAUGAACCCCUGAUUCUCUUUUUCAUUCAAAAGCAGGACUAUAGCCAUUUUCCCCUCAGACAUGAGCUUGAGUCCCUUGUCUUGCAAAAUGUUAUCUCCAUUUCCAUGUAAGGAAGAUUUGGAUGAUAUUUGCAAACUAUUAAUAAGCUUUGCUUCUGAAGCACUGAUCACCUCGGCUGCAUUCCAUCUGAAUUUAAGGAAGUUAAAACACAAAUGAACAUUCCAACAAAUGUAAUAAAAAAGGGCCGAGAAAUUGUGACAUAACAAGCCACAAAAAUCAAUGAUCGUAUGGUCAAGUUCAUAAAAAAUGAACAAUUAAAUCAGAAAACACUAAUAUUUUUAUAAUUUAGUUUAUCUAAGAAUGAGUAGUCAUUUCUAAAACCUAGUAUUGGAUCAUACUGAUAACAGAAAUAGUUUCUCUCUUUCUUUUUGUCGGGGUGGGGGAUGAAGGUGUUGAAGCUUAAAAUAACUAUGGUUUACAAUAACUUGCCUCUUGGUAGGUUGUUGAAGACCUUGUAAUGCCUCCUGAAGCAAUUUGGUGUUUACACCAACAAUCUGAUCACUAAGCAAGCUCCUCUGUUCCUUCUCUCCAUAUCGAAGUCCAUGAAAUACAUGUUGCUGCUCUAUUUCAACGAGUUUCUUUUUCGCUGCUAUGAGGCGCUUUUGAAACUUUUUCCUUUCUUUCCAUUCCUGAAAUAUACCAAAAAAAUGAAUUAUCCAUAUCAUUUCUUGGUAGGUGGUAUCAAUUGCUACCCAGUCAUUAUGAUAGGAAAAUUAACCCAUAAAACACAAUUUAAAAUUCAAAUGAUACAAGUUCAACUAUUGAGAGGCAUAGCAGAAUGCCACAUUAUGAAAAUCUAAUUUCACUAAGGUUGACAAUAAUGCAAAUCUGUUAGCUGGGUUAUCAUACAAAUUAAUAAAAACCGCAUCCAAUUAAUACAUAAUUGUGGCUUACUCUGAAGGCAAAAUAGCCAAGGUAAAACAUAUAUAAUUGAAACGAAUGUUUAAUCACAAAAUUGCCUUGAAAAGGGAGAGACUAAGAAGGUAAUAUAACAUCAGCAGUAAGCACAAAAACAACAACAAAACAUUGAACCUGUUCAAAAAGUAUAGGAGAGUAUGCAUCAAUGUUUUGUUCAAAAAAUUCCAAAAAGUAACAACUUGGUGAUAAAGUAUAGGGCAGUAUGCCUCACAAGUUGGCGCCUUUCUUUUUUGGACCUCUCAUCAUAUCGUAAGUUUAAUUCCAGUAGCCCCUUGGGUGGUGUGAUAUGCAUUUCUCUUCUUUUUGUAUCAACAUCCGGAACAAUUGCUUCCACAAAAGGCACCAAAACAAGCUGACCAGAUGCUUCUACCUCUUCAGAUCUUGACUUUCCACUUUUAUCAAGAAUACCAAAAGAUGAAUCAAGGGAAACUUGCAGAAGGUCAUUAGCUCCACUAUUGAAAACACCAAUAACAGUUCCCACAAAUUCUCCACUUUCCUGAUAGGAAAAGGUGUUGUAGGUAAACAAAUUCAGUUUAAGGAUUUAAAAACAAUAAGGCAAUACAAUACCAAAGAAGAAGAAUUCAAAGUUGCAUAAAUCUAUAUAAACUGGGUACUUCAAAAAAUGGUGAUGUAUGUCUUGGAUAUGCAUGGGUAUGUACCGAAUAUGUAAGAAUUAUAUCAAAUUGUUUUUUUAUUUGUUACACGGAUUGGGUACGGCAGGGUACUCCUAUGGUGCUGACUGAGUGACCAUUGCAAAACUGUGUCAUUUUGGGCUAGAAAUCUCAGUUGGUAAUGAGUCUUAACUUCUCAUCCUACGACACUCGCAUCCUCAGGCAGUGUCGGUGACGACCCUCUUACCUUUUUUAUAUACUUAUAUAAGUAUAUAUACAUAAAAAUUUUAUAUUGACAUACCCAUAUCUUUGAUUUUCUAAAAUGUAUCUCUUACAUGUAUCAUACCCAUACCACGCAACAUAUUAUAACAUUAUCUUUAGGUUAUUGAUAAUAGUUUGUUUGCAUUUGAAUCACUAUACUAGCACUUUGCAUUUCAUUUGCUGAGUCAUUUGCUGUUUCACAAAGAAAUAGCUGUCAGUAGGAUAUAUGUAUGCAAAGAAAAGAGCUCCACCAAAAAAAACAAAUCUGUGAAAGGCUAUAUUUUAACAUGGCAAAAAAGCUGUCAUUUCUGUAAUAGCUCAUCAAUGAGGAUCACCAAGUUAAUUUUAUAGACCUAAAAAAUAUAACAUAAAGUUAAAUGGAUAGGAAAGGAAAAUCUUUGGUUCCAUUAAAUGGCAAUAUUUCAAAAAAUUGAAUAAAAAAUAAUGAAUAAGGAGAGGAAAAAUGGUUCAUAGGAACCUUGAGAAAAACUUUCAUCCCAACAAGAUCAUGUGUGUAAAAUUCACCCUCUUCUAACUCUGGUCUUUCAUCCUCGGUGACAAGCAAGGUAGAGCCAGUAAGCAUCUUAGCCUGCAUGAUACGAGUAAAUGAAUGUGUUUGGAUUAGCAACAGAAAAUAGAUUAUUUCAGUGAUAGAUUGUUAUCAUGAUCUAUUGUAAAAGAAUUGUUUUCCUGUUAAGAUAUGCUUGAUGAAAAAGAGUUUUUAUGAUAAUCUAUUUUGUUUUGACCGUUCGAAAAAAUCACAUUUAUGUAGUAAAUUACAAAAAAUGACAGUUAUUUCUUUAGAUUAAUAAUGUUUGUUCGGCAAUUAGUUCAUUUUUUCAAAUAAGUUUCAGCCUCUAGUUUCCCUAAAACAAAUUUUCUCCCUGAAAACCUCUUUUUCAUACUUUCAUCAAGUUUAUUAAACCACACCUGAAAGUAGGGCAUGUUCACAUCCAAAUCGUUCCAAAAUAAAACUGUAAACCAAUUCAAAAAACUACAAACCAAUAAAAAAAAUAUUUUAGAUUGGUUUUGCAAAGAACAGGCCAGGUCAGAUCAGAUCAGAUUUUGGAUUCAUGUAUAAAACUCGAUCAAAUUGUGCAUCUUACAUAUUUUAUAUAUUAAUUAAUCUAAAAUUGUAUAUUUACUUUAAGUUGUGAUAUUUGAUGUAUACCUUUGAUUGAAUUAUUUUUUGUAUUACUUUCAUUUGGAUACAUUAUCUCAAUAAUCAAACAAUUAACCAUAAUAUUUUAUUUUACUAUUUAAAAUAAAAAUCAAUACAUACACUUAUAAAAUUAAAGUUGUAUUUGGAUAAAAACGUAAAUAAUCAAAAAUAAAAAGCCAAAUCACAACCGCUCGUAAUUUUUAGUUCAUACCAAAUUUGAUGCUUAAAUCAACCGACUCGAACCACAUGUGAUAUUUAUGUUCCAAUAAGAUGACUUUUUACCCCAAAACCAAUCCAAAUCAACCCACAAACACCCUUACUUGAAAGGAAAAAGCAGUUUAUGUUCACACAAGAGUGAAUGGAGAUUGAUGACAAGAGAGGAUGACCUCUCAGUUUCAAUUCAGAUGUUGGUAUAUGUUUGUAACCUAUCUUUCAUAAGGUCCAAGGAUUUACAUCUACCAAUAGAGGAAGUUAUGUGACAUGGGAAGUUCAGGUUUUUAUGGGGAAGACGACGAGGAGUAGUAGGGUGUAGAUCAUGGUUCACUUGAUGACUCGGCCAACCUACGUGAGAUAGACCUUGAUUUGUUCGGGCAUGGUUAUAAUAUUGGGAGUCAAAUUGUGAACCAGAAAGCCUAAUUUCCAAAUAGUGAAUGGUAAUAUUUCUUUAUUACUAGACAAAACAUGUUAUUUCGAAAUAGUUAUAACAUACAUUUAUGCAUGAUUAUCUAUACUCUAGACCUCGGCUAGAGUAUACAUACAUUUGUCUUCCUCUUGCCCCUACACAAACCACUUCUAAUUUAUAUACAUAAAUACAAUGACUACCCCUACAAGAGUAAUAAGUUUAAUCUUUUAAACAAAAAAUGUGAUAAAUAUAAUUAAGUUAAACAAAAUAUGGUAUACUGUGAAGAUAAGUUCAAAUAGCAUAAGUAAUGAUGUAUUUUGUCAAUAUCUCCUUAGAAGUAUUGAUGUAUUUUGUAACCAAUCAAAAAUAAUGAAGAUAUAUCAACUCUUACACUAUUUGGACUUGUCUCCACAAUAUACUAUAUUUUAUUUAACUUAAUUAUAAUCAUCACGCUUUUUAUAUAGAUUACACUUAUAUCUCCUGCAUGGUUAGUCAGUGUAAUGUAUGUAUAUGAAUAAGGGUGGUUUGUGUAGGUACAAAAUAGAGAUAAGUCAUUUGUGUAAUUUUACUAAAACUCAGGAGAUGUCAGUAUAACUUACUCAUGUAUUUAUUAUUAAGAUUAUUUCAUAAUUUUUUUUCUCAAAAUUAAUUAUUAUUUAUUUCAGUCAACAUUUACUAGAAUCUAAUAGUAAGUCUUUUCCCAUAAUUUUGUUUAUCAACAUUGUUUACUAUUUAUUAUUGACUUUAACAUCAAUACAUUGUUCGUAUAAAGGUUUUUACAUUAUCCAUCAAUUAUGUGUAUUACUUUUAUUUAAAAUCAUAAAAUGUCAGUUGGACUAUUUUCUCUAUUGUUUAAUUAGAAAUGAGUUAGAAAACCUACAUGUUUUCCAGCCACCCAUUUGUUUAAAUUUGUCGCCCAUUGUUUUUUCAUUUUUUUUAUCAGCCCGCCCACUGUUUUUUCAUCUAACUCUUACCAUCUCAGGUCUAUAAAUAUGAGUUUGUUUCAUCUCCCAUCAACCCCAACACCUUCAUCCUCUCCUAUGACAGGCCAGCCUACCAACGGAGCCUCAUUGCCAGAGUAUCCAGGCGUUCACAGGCUGAACACCGGUGAGAUCCUGGCUACAACCACCUACUUCAGGAAGUUGUCUUCUAAGACCGCAGGUCAUGCUCGAAUCGAAAAAACACCCAGAACCUUGACCUAUAUAAUUCGCCUAUGAUUCAACAAUUCUGACCCAUAAUCAAUACAAACACAGAUUUGUAUAUUUAGGGUUCAUAAUUGUUUCGAAACACAAUUUGAAUCGUGCAAUUCAUACAAUCCUAACUACAAUGGGUUCAAGGACUACAAGCUUAGCAUAUAUGAAGGUCGACCCAAAGAGCCGGUGUGCGUGUUUCACCUCAACUUGAUAGUACACCAGCUUAAGCUUGUGUUAACUCGGCAAUGGUACCUCAACCUGAUAGGUACACCCCUGUUUGAGGAAGAUACAAACUCAUAGAACUGGAAUGCAAAAACAAGACCAAAUUAACCAAGGAUGAAACAUAACCCAACAAAGGUUAGAAAAAAUAAUGGCAUUCCAUACUGGAUAAACAAAUAAAGGGGGCUGGAAAAUAUAUAAAGAGAAGUGAAAUGGAAGUGCUCACAUCUAUGCAAGCAUUGAUUAUUAUAUAUAUGACCUUAUACAAAUCAUUGCAAAGUGGGGAAGUCAAGUAUUCUUCAUCCUGUGAGAACCUCUCUCCUUUAAAGUUCAUAACAUCCAUCUCUUUCUUCUUGUUCUCUUUGUUACCAGUCCUCGCAUCAUUCUUCUUGUUUUCUUUGUUAUUAUCAAUCUUCUCACCAUUCUUCUUUUUGAUCGGUAUCAACCCACAGUCUGAGAAACACUCGGUGCAAGUGGUUGUAAUGAAGUAUUACUUGUAUUGAGGGUUGAUGACAAUUAAAAGGAAGAUGAUGAGAGGGUUGAAGAAAACAAAGAAAGUAAGAUUGGUGAAAGGGCUAAUAAUAAAGAGAACAUGGAGAAAAAGAGGGAGGUAAUGAAUCGUGUAAAGGAAAGAGGUUGUCCAAGGUAAAGAAUACUUCAUUUGUCCAUUUUCCAAUGAUUUGUAUGAGCACUUCCAUCUUAAUUUCCUUCAUAUCUUUUCCAACCCCUUUAUUUGUUUUUCCUCUGUCUAAUUUCAUUAUUUUUUCUGCAUUUUUGUGUUCUUAUUCAUCCUGUUUAAUUUGUUCCAAAUUUUUCUGUUCUAGCUCCAUAUGAGUUUGAUCUUCCUCCACCAAGGUGUACUUCCCCAAGUUGAGGUACCCCUUUCCAAGUUAACUCAACCUUACAUGGGUGUACCAUUGGGGCGAGCUGAAACCCGAACAUCAAUUCUUUAGCCCUACCUUCAGUCCCACUAAGCUUAUACUCCCUGAAUCGACCAAGGUCUACCUCACAUAGAUUGGCCGAGUUAUCAAUUGAACCAUGAACUAAACCCCAACACUCCUCGACAUCCUCCUCACCAAAACCCCAAUUUCUCACUCCAUUGGUCCCUAUAUAUAUAUGUAAUAUGGGAAUCGUUGGACCUUAAGCAAGACAGGUUACAAACAUAUACAACAUCUCGAAACCGAUCCUAAGAGGCCAACCUCUCUAGUCAUUUGUCUACUUUUGCAUGAACAGUUUCUAUACAGAUAUCGUCCGAAUCAAACAAGCUUAAUGCCGAAAAAAUACACAUCAUGGUAUAUUAAAUCUCAGUAAUGGUAGUGUAUUUUUUGCAUACCUGGUCCACAGUGUCAAUUCCUUUGAAUUUGAGUAUCCAACUAUUAUGUGCAGGAUGAUUUCUACCUUGCUCCAGCUCAACCUCCUGAAUGGUUUCUUCACCCAAAACAUUCUGCCUCAGCCACCUAGUCCCAGGCUAGUAGUACAUACAAUAAUCAUUCAUUAAUCAAUCUUUGGGAAACAAUAUAUUAAAAAAAUAAUGACUCAAUACACGAGUCUCCCAUCUAGCGGGUUUAUGGGGAAGGGAGAUGUAUACAGUCUUUUGUCUCGAAUACGUUUCCGAGAACAUGUUAACAAAAAUAAUGAAAAAGUAAAAAUUG